rnacentral:rRNA from 1 species
UACGUAGGGUGCGAGCGUUGUCCGGAAUUACUGGGCGUAAAGAGCUCGUAAGUGGUUUGUCGCGUUGUCCGUGAAAACUCACAGCUUAACUGUGGGCGUGCGGGCGAUACGGGCAGACUGGAGUACUGCAGGGGAGACUGGAAUUCCUGGUGUAGCGGUGGAAUGCGCAGAUAUCAGGAGGAACACCGGUGGCGAAGGCGGGUCUCUGGGCCGAUACUGACGCUGAGGAGCGAAAGCGUGGGGAGCGAACAGG